UACGAAGGGUGCAAGCGUUACUCGGAAUUACUGGGCGUAAAGCGUGCGUAGGCGGUUCGUUAAGUCUGUCGUGAAAGCCCUGGGCUCAACCUGGGAAUUGCGAUGGAUACUGGCGAGCUAGAGUACGGUAGAGGAUGGUGGAAUUCCCGGUGUAGCGGAUGAAUGCGUAGAGAUCGGGAGGAACACCCGUGGCGAAGGCGGCCAUCUGGACCAGUACUGACGCUGAGGCACGAAAGCGUGGGAGCAAACAGG
rnacentral:rRNA from 1 species